rnacentral:rRNA from 1 species
ACCCACGACAAAUCUUACCACUUCUUGCAUAAUAUAUCUCUUGUAUAUUACAGGUGUUGCAUGGCUGUCUUUAGUUCGUGUUGUGAAAUGUUAGGUUCAUUCCGAAAACGAACGCAACCCUUAUCUUUAAUUAAACUCUUUAAAGAAGUAUCUUUCGAUAAGAAAGAAUAAUUAGGAUGAAGACAAGUCCUCAUGACCCUUAUGGAGUGGGCUACAGACGUGCCGCAAAAAUUUCUACAAUAGGAAGCAAAGAUCCAAGUCCGAGCGAAUCCUUAAAAGAA